AGCAACAUGGCAGGUUGGGGCGGGAAAAGCGCGCCGAAGUUCGCCGACAUUUUUACUUAAAAAUAUUGCAACAGCGCUAUUUUUAAUCAUUCAGAGGUGACUAUUACAUCAAGAGGACGACAUACGAGCAAUUUGCUAAGACAUUUGAACAUACAGUCUGCACUGAAUGUCGCGUUUUUGGCAGCAGCAAUCAUCUGACGUAAAUACAACAGGGAGACAUAUUCUGGCUGGUUUGGAGGCGGGCAAUAAUGGCUGCAGUUCAAGUCCGCCGCUAGGUUUCACCGCCAAGAGUACCACUCUGCCCGGGGAACGACGAAUGUCACCGAGCAGUGACAAAGUUUGUGGUCAAAACCUUACAACAAUUUGCCACAAAGAUGCUCCUUCGGUAGGUGGCUAAUGUUGCAGGCUCAUACCCGUCAGAAAACCUCUUCGCCUCUCUCGAUGACGAUGGUCCUGUCUUCGUUGAUGGACGAUGAAGUCUCGUAGUCGUCACCCAGCAGGCCAAGUAGGGGGUACUGGUUCCUGUACCUGCAUCGACGUAAAAGACCAGGUUUUAGCAUGGCCAGCAGCUCCGAAAUCUUCAGCUGGAGGCUCUUCUCCGACGCCGAUGACGACCUCUCAGUGGUGAUCUCCAUCUGCAGCUUCGUAAUCUGCACCUGGAGACGGCAGAAACGGUCUUCAGUCAUGUGAAGAAGUUCUUCUCUCAGGCUGCUGAAGGUGGACAGCAGCAGACGCAUGCUCUUAUCAGCGGUCAGGCGAGUCUGACACACACAUGCACACACUUUACAUUCAGCUGACACAGCAAUUUCAACAUUGAGCCAGAUGUGCUGAUCGUUACCUGCAGCAGGUAUCGAAUUUGCUGUUUGGUCAGCUCAGUGGCUCCUUUCGGGAGAAGAGAUUCCACAUCCUCCACCUAGAUGCACAUUGUUAUUUGCACAGUUAUAAAAAGUCUUCUUCAAAUAAGUGUGAGUGGAGAUAGUUGUUAGUUCACCUUGUAGUCAUCCAGUUUCCUAUUGAAGGCAAAAAAUAGCAACUUGUUUAUUCUAUUAGUUUAUGGCAUAGCAGUUUCUAAUUUCAAGCACACUUACUGUCCUCUGAUCUUGGACACAUGCUCGGAUAUGCAAGUGUGAAUGUCGCAGUUCUUUCUGUAGACGUCGGCCAGCAGCCCAGCAAAGUAGCGCGUGUCCAACUUGUUAUCAUGGAUUUCGCUCAGGUCUGUCCUCACCUCCGUCCUGGAGAUCCUCUCGAUGGCCGGCGGCGGCUUUUGCUGAAUCACGGUGAUGACCUCCUCCUCUUCCACCUCUACUGCCUCUUCCUCCUCCUGUCAGGAACAAGGCAGGUGCACAACUUCAACCCCUGGAAUCUAGGAAACAAUAUUAGCAUGACUGCUUUGCUAUUAGGAGCAUAACAACACAGCCUUCCACUGAUCAAGUCAAUGACUCUUUCAUAGCAUCUCGAAACAAUCCAGGCACUAAAGAGUGCACUACUGGGCUGCAACCAGCAGAGGCGCUGUUGAUGAAGCUCAACUACUUUGCAAUAAAAAAAACCUCACAUUUCUGCUGGGAACAUCUGGCAGAGUCUCUCGUCAGAGAGUUUCAAUUCCCACCUUUGGAAGAACUUUGAAAAUGUCACGACGGAGGCACUCAACAUUGAGGUAUAAGACCGUCUGAUCGUGGUGGUCCUCUGUAGCGCACGCUACCGCCACCUAGAGGACUGGCAUUCCUUUUGUUUGUAAAAAAAUAUAUAAAAUAUAAUAAAAGCUACUUAUAGAUAUACUUGAUGUGAUGAAACAGGCACGAAUUGAGUGUUUGGAAUAGGAUGCUCGCCUAAUCCAUACAAGUUAAACGUAAUAUCGCCACCUGGAGGACUGGAGAGCACCAGCUGAGCAUGUUUUGAAAAGGUACACGACGGUUAGAAUUGUUCUGAUUAUUUUUGUAAAGGCAGCGAAGUCUUAUAAUGCCCAGUUUUGACUUAUGCUGUCAGAGAGGUAUUAGUAACAUAUUUAUUGUGUAUUAUUAGUUUGCAGUAACUUUACAUAAUUCAAAGUCAUAUUUAUUGUCAGUUUUCCACAUGUGCUGGAUAUACAAGAGUUUCUCUCUAACCAGAGUGUACAAUAACUGUCAGAUGGAUUUUUGAAGCUAUAUACAAAAUAUAAAGAAUACAAAUAAAAUAAUUAAUGCUUAAACAAUACACAAGCCUCCAGCUAGGUGGCAGAAGCGCUACACAGAAUAGAGGUGAUGGAGAAGAGAUUUACAGGUUUAUGACAGUAAUUAAGAGAGUACAAAGCGUACAUUGCCCUGACUGUAUUUUGAUAAUCAGUUGAUUAUUUCCAGAACGAUUGUGCCAGCAACUCAUUCUGUGAUUUGUACAGAUAAAUAAAUGCACAUUAGCGUUUAUCAAUAGUGUUUCGUUUCACAAAGGGUGUGAAAAAAGGAAAUAAUUA